GGAAAAUGCCACCGGUUCCGGAUAUACCUGCAAACAGCUGAAUAUCGCAAGCAUACGAAGAUCGUUAAGGGCUCGGUUCGCUUGUAACGCAAAAUGAGGGGGCUCCAUCUCACCUGUAACCCCCAUCAUUCUCCUCCACCCAUCUUCCUCCGUGACAGAUGUGAUAUGCACCAACCCUCUGCAUAUCAUCCUUCACAACGUCCACGAAUCUUCUCUGAGCUGGUUCUUCUCAGAGCAGCAGGUCUGAAGAAGAGUUUCAUGAAAUGGCGCCAUCUAGUGGAAAUAUGUCAGUCCUACACUCGGCUUCGUCUAAUGAACUUGAACGCUCAUGGGUUUAGAAAAGUCUAUUUUUUGUUGUUGACGUAUAUAUUUUUAAUAUACUUACAAUGCAACAGUUCAUAUA